GACGAACGCUGGCGGCGUGCUUAACACAUGCAAGUCGAACGGAAAGGCCCUGCUUUUGUGGGGUGCUCGAGUGGCGAACGGGUGAGUAACACGCGAGUAACCUGCCCUUGACUUUGGGAUAACUUCAGGAAACUGGGGCUAAUACCGGAUAGGAGCUCCUGCUGCAUGGUGGGGGUUGGAAAGUUUCGGCGGUUGGGGAUGGACUCGCGGCUUAUCAGCUUGUUGGUGGGGUAGUGGCUUACCAAGGCUUUGACGGGUAGCCGGCCUGAGAGGGUGACCGGCCACAUUGGGACUGAGAUACGGCCCAGACUCCUACGGGAGGCAGCUGUGGGGAAUAUUGCACAAUGGGCGGAAGCCUGAUGCAGCAACGCCGCGUGCGGGAUGACGGCCUUCGGGUUGUAAACCGCUUUCGCCUGUGACGAAGCGUGAGUGACGGUAAUGGGUAAAGAAGCACCGGCUAACUACGUG
rnacentral:rRNA from 1 species